rnacentral:lncRNA from 1 species
GGUUUAUGGACAGUCACUCCAUUCUUUGCUUUGUAUUUUUUUUUUUUUCUAACGUUUAAGGAAAACGUCCUUGCCGAUAACAGAGUUAUUCUGUUGGGUGUGUAUAAAGGCAGAUCUGUCAGCUUGGUUUUGAUAAAAGGGAAGGCACGUCCUGCUUUAUAAGAUGAUCAAAAGUACAGCUGCCAAGGACACCCCGAGAGCCAGGAGUGCUGAAUGAGGAGCUGGGAUGCUGGACUUGGUAGAAUAGACGACAAAACUAACUCCAGGUGUGUGGUACUGGAAGGAUGAUACUAACACACUUGAAUUUGCAAGACUGGAGCUCCUUAACUGCUGCUCUGUGGCCUCAUAUUAAUGGAGAAAAUCAGAAAUAUGCAUCUACUCUGUACUGCUCUCAAGCUGAACCCGCUCCAGAGGGAUGGCUGAAAGUGUGUGGAGAGUCCUGCCAUGUGUCAGAAAUGUGUACCAUGUGCUGGAGCAGCAGUGCUGGAUGCCAGGGCCAAAUGCCACCCCAGGUGUCUAUAGGUGGAGGUUCACAGACUGAUGUUCCCUGUUGCCGGUGUUAGGUGUGAUCCCGUGCAAUGGUGAGCACCAAAGGACUGCAGACCUUUAGGGAAACCACAGGUCUGCGGGAGACAAAGUCCACGUAACUAUGCUUUGUGGCAGCUGUGGAUUAAGACUUUAUCAGGCC